AUUGAACGCUGGCGGCAUGCCUUACACAUGCAAGUCGAACGGUAACAGGUCUUCGGAUGCUGACGAGUGGCGAACGGGUGAGUAAUACAUCGGAACGUGCCUAGUAGUGGGGGAUAACUACUCGAAAGAGUGGCUAAUACCGAAUGAGAUCUACGGAUGAAAGCAGGGGAUCGCAAGACACUGUGCUACUAGAGCGGACGAUGGCAGAUCAGGUAGUUGGUGGGAUAAAAGCUUACCAAGCCGACGAUCUGUAGCUGGUCUGAGAGGACGAUCAGCCACACUGGGACUGAGACACGGCCCAGACUCCUACGGGAGGCAGCAGUGGGGAAUUUUGGACAAUGGGCGCAAGCCUGAUCCAGCAAUGCCGCGUGCAGGAUGAAGGCCUUCGGGUUGUAAACUGCUUUUGUACGGAACGAAAAGCCCUGGGUUAAUACCCUGGGGUCAUGACGGUACCGUAAGAAUAAGCACCGGCUAACUACGUGCCAGCCGCCGCAGUAA
rnacentral:rRNA from 1 species